CUUAAGGCGGCUCUAAGCGAAUACAAUUUUCAUACAUUUAGACCAAUAAGCUGGCGAAAAAUAAAUAGACUUCUAGUAGUCCAAUUUUAAUUUUGAAAAAAGUUUUGAACUUGUUACCUUCUUCUCUAUGUUUUGUAGGAAAUACUUUUUUAUUUUUUUGUUUUGUUAGCACAUUAAAGUGCAUGUUAAUUUUGAAAAAUUAAUUUAGUUAUUUAGAACCGUACUACGUAAAUUAUCCAAAAUAUCCAAAAUCUAUUUCCUACAAAACAUAGAGUAGAGGGUAAUAAGUUCAAAUAAUUUUUCAAAAUUAAAAUAGGAUUACUAGAAGUAUGUUAAUUUUUCGCCAGCUUAUUAGAAUUAUUCAUUGUUGUGUAUGUACAAAAAUAUUUUUCGAAUAUUCGUACGAUGACUUGUGCAUGCGCGUACGUAUGCUAUGGAACGUAAUCAUUCCGUUCGCCCACAUCCGGGCGAUAUGAAAUCUAUUGUUAUCGAUUCGAAUUUCUUCGAAAUACUAAUUUUAUAUUUUAUAUUAUAUAAAGUAAUUGCAUUUAUUAUAAAUACUAGUAUUUAAAAUCAAUGCUAUUAGUAAGUUAUUACCAUCAGUGCAGUUUGUGUUGAUUUUAUGCAUUUGCAAAUAAUAAAAAGUUUAUAAAAAUGAGUGAUUGGCGAUAUAGUAAAAAGAUGCGUCCAAAAUUGACUGCACCACGGAAAAAAUUAAGACACAAUUUGAAAAAUUUACAGUCUAAAAAUUCUAAAACUUUAGAGGACAACGAUAUUCAGAUUUUGGAUCAUUCUAAUGUUUCAAAUGAAAAUGAUGACCAAACUCAUGAUGAAACUGAUAGCAGGUAAUUACUAAUUUGUAAUUAUUCUUUUAUAUUUAUUAAUAUGAAUAUAUUGAUUUUACAAUGAUA